GAAAGAUGAAAAGAAUUUUGAAAAGAAAGUUAAACAGUACGUGAAAUUGUUGAAAGGGAAACGAUUGAAGCCAGUCGUACCGACGGGAAAUCAACUUCUCGAGUGCUUACCGUGGGUGACGUUGAGCUUUACGGCCUUCGUUGCUUGUGUUGUUGGUGCUUUUGGGGUGUACUUUUCCGUAUGGUAGGUCAUCAUCGAUUUUGAUCGUCAUAAAAUGAUCGGGGGAAUGUAGCUUCGGUCUCGUAUCGGAGUGUUAUA
rnacentral:rRNA from 1 species